UCAAAUUUUCUGAGGUCCCUUCCAAACCUAAGGAAAAAAGAGAUCAAGGAUAAAAGGAAAAAAAUCACAUCACUGAAGUAUAGAGAGAUGCAUGGUCUGACCAAAAUCUUUGCUCUUUACUGCUCCCAUUAGGAUGUAAGAAUGUGAAUGAACUCAGGGAUUACCUCAGAGGCAAAGGGAGGAGAAAUGUGGGAACAUGAUGCUCCCAAAGCUGGGGGCUCACCCACAUGUUUGCAGGAGCCAGCAGGACAAGGUCUGUCACUCCAGGUCCCAGGACACGGUGCUGUAUCAUGACUCAGACCAGGUAGAUAAGCUGCCAAAGGUCACACUGCCAACAGUGACAGCAUGGCGGUCAUGAUAGAAGUUCUCUCCCUGCAAGCCCAGCCAUGGAAGAUGUCCCUGCUUGGCAAAGAGCUGCAUGGAGAUGACGGCAGAGCCGCCAGUGGAAGGCCCUCAGCACCCUCCUAAAGAUGAAACAACCGCUGACCCAGAUGCCAUUUGGGACCCUCUGUGCCUGAGAAAUGCCUGUCCCUGGAUUAGACCACUGUGAAUGGGGAUGCACCCUUACCACACUGAGUCACCAAGCCAGAUGCCAUCCAAAGGGCAGGUGAAUUAAAUCACACGGUCAAUCCCUGCCGACCGGCAACCACCCCAAGAUGCACUGAGGAGCGAAAAACCAAGACUUGCAGAGGAAUAGAAGACUUCGGAAGGAAGUAGGAGAAACCAGUAACGGUGACACCUGAGACAGGAGUGAAAGGCCAAGUGGUCAGUGGUGGGAGGCAGACUUAUCUACGUCUUCACGGCUGGAAUCCACACUCUGAAGGUGACCAGCCACUGGUCAGCACUGUCAUAACAGAUGAACUUCAAAGAAGCAUAGGUAAAUGAGAGAGGAGGUGGACAUAUUCACCAGAGCUCACCAUGGAGCAUCCUCACCGACAGCAACAAACUGCUUAAAUCUCAUCUCCAUUUGUGAGUAGCUGUUCAGCCUUGGGCAAGUUCCUCAACCUCUCUGGGCUUUAGUUCCCUAAACUGUAAAAUGGGAAGGAUAAUAGGUACCUGGUCAAAUUGUUGUGAGAACUAAAUCUAACAAUGUCAUGCAGGACAUGAGUCAGUGUGGUGCUGGCACAAAGUGGGUGUAUAAAGAAUGCAGGGUGAUUUGCAAACAGGAGCUGCGGUCUGCAUCUAAGAGGCCUUUGCCCCACCCAGAGAGACCCUUGUGCUCAGAGCCAUGGGGGACCCGCAGGCAUAGCCAUUAAACGGCUCAGCCACCGUGGGCGAGCCCCAGGUACCAGGCAGACAGAAGAGAAAUGGGAGCCUGCCAAGGCUGACCCAAAGAAGUCACCAGGGGGAAGAGAGGGACACAGGCACUCCCAUACCUGUCCCCUGCCAAGUGAUUCUCCUGACAACCCUGCAAGCCUCUUUCGGAUUUUAUAGAUAAGGACCUGAGCUGUAACAAAGCAGAGUAAGAAGCUCUGUGCUGGUGGGGGCUCCUCCCCUUCUCCUGGCUCACGUCUCACACUGCUCAUUGGCUUUUAUUUUUUUCCAACUUUAUAUUUUUCUGUAUACUUGUUAUUGGAUUUUGAUUUGCCAACGUAUAGUA